rnacentral:lncRNA from 1 species
ACAACAACAACAACAACAACAACAACAAAUCCUUCAACAAAUUUUGCAACAACAACUGAUUCCAUGCAUGGAUGUUGUAUUGCAGCAACACAACAUAGCGCAUGGAAGAUCACAAGUUUUGCAACAAAGUAGUUACCAGCUGUUGCAAGAAUUGUGUUUUCAGCACCUAUGACAGAUCCCUGAGCAGUCGCAGUGCCAAGCCAUCCACAAUGUUGUCCAUGCUAUUAUUCUGCAUCAACAACAAAAACAACAACAACAACAACAACAAAAACAACAACCAUCGAGCCAGGUCUCCUUCCAACAGCCCCAGCAACAAUAUCCAUCAGGCCAGGGCUCCUUCCGGCCAUCUCUGCAAAAUCCACAGGCCCAGGGCUCGGUCCAGCCUCAACAGCUGCCCAGUUCGAGGAAAUAAGGAACCUAGCGCUACAGACGCUACCUGCAAUGUGCAAUCUCUACAUCCCUCCAUAUUGCACCAUCGCGCCAUUUGGCAUCUUCGGUACUAACUGAGAAGAAAAUAACUCUAGUACUAGAUAUAUGAAACACCGUUUUCUUAGUCCAUGGUUUGGUCAUUGUAGCGGUGAAAAAAUAAAGUGACAUGCACUACCAUGUAAGAACUCGAACUAUACUAGUUCAAACUUGGGAAUAAAAGACAAACACAGGUCUUGUCUACAUAUUUAUGUUGCAUUUAUCUAAAGAUAACAAAAUGAGUCUAAAAUUUGAAUUAAAUUGAAGUAUUUUCUUGGACUUUCAAAUUGAGUAUUAUUAACGUAGUAAGGACUAUCCUCAUCCUUGGCCUGCCCCUAAUCAAUUAUUUCCAGAGAAGCAUUCAAUUCAUCAAUCAAUUACAUUGAUUUUUGUGGCUGGUACUUCUCCUCAACAUCAGUAUAUUCACCGUGGCUACUCCAAAUCGGCAAGAAUGAGGUACCGGUGCUCUGGAGCAGUGCCAACUAAUUGCUUCUCAUGUGAAGGGGUGCGGGCGCGGGAGAGGUAUUUCUGGUGGGCCAAGGGAGUAAGAAGCCACCGUGGGAGUGGUACAGACGCCCGUAAAGCCCCAUAGUUUCUUUUUGGUUUACAGGAAAAUGCACAUCCAUACCGGCCUGGGGAGUAUAGGACCGUAUUGGAUGGAAAACCAUGUCCGGAUGGUUGCGAGCGGUUUGAGGGUUAGCUUUUGUAACGCCCGGUUAGUUAUGCUAUAGCAAUUCCCUGCUAAUGAUGUCACGUCACCAAGAUUACUGUUGUUAUCCUCACAAUGAUUCAAUGCCAUUCUAAUUCAAAUUUAAAAUAAAGGCAAGCAUCAAAAGUUUUCAAACAUUAAAACUAAAAUCUUUGAGAGGUAACAAAUAAUGCAUAAGUAAUUAUGGUGGAGAAACCACACUUUAAUAAAAUGUUUAAAUACUCUAAAAUGAAAAAAACAGUGGCUUAAACUAUUAUUUAAAUGCUUUUAAAAUAGUAAAAAUGUUCUAACUAAAUUAAUUGGGUACCAACCUUUUGGUGGCAGUGGUAUAUUUAGUAGAACUAAUUUAGAUGCUAGUUAUAUGAUUUAGAAAAUUAGGGUCAAUUGAAAAAUAGGAUAAAACAGAGAAGGAAAGACAAAACAAAUAAAAGCAAAAGGGGGCAACCCCUCACUGGCCUUGGCCUAGCUGGCCACUGGGCUAGCUAGGUCGGCCCCGCCGCCUCCCUUAACCCCCUGUCGGUGUCGAAACCGGUGGAUGGUACCAUGAGUAGAUCUACCACGAGAUCGGAGAGGCUAAACCCUAGAGGCUAGCCUAUGAUAUGAUUGUAUGUGUCCUACGGACUAAAACCCUCCGGUUUAUAUAGACACCGGAGAGGGUUAGGGUUACACAAGGUCGGUUACAAAGGAGGAGAUAUCCAUAUCCGUAUUGCCUAGCUUGCCUGCCACGCCAAGUAGAGUCCCAUCCGGACACGGGACGAAGUCUUCAAUCUUGUAUCUUCAUAGUGCAACAGUCCGAAAAAGGAUAUAGUCCGGCUGUCCGGAGACCCCCUAAUCCAGGACUCCCUCAGUAGCCCCUGAACCAGGCUUCAAUGACGAUGAGUCUGGCGCGCAGUAUUGUCUUCGACAUUGCAAGGCGGGUUCCUCCUCCGAAUGCAUCACAGAAGAAUUUGAAUACGAGGAUAGUGUCCGACCCUGCAACAUAAGUUCCACAUAAUUCCAUACAGAGAAUAAUAUUUUCGCAAAUCUAAUUUGCUUACUUGUUUUGACAGUACGACAUUAUGUCAUGGCCCGGUGAUUAUUCGAACCGUUUCCUUUAACUAGCCCCGCACAUAACGCGAGGCAGUUUUUCGACAUGUCUUGUCAAAGCAGAGAUCGUGUCCCCUUAUUACUGGAUUCUCAUCAAUACGGGCGUGGGUAACCCAACCGCGCCAUCGAUUGCGGCACUUGGGGGAUGAGCUAUUUUUACCUGGCAAGUGGGGACGCUUAGUUUCGUCCGCCCAUAUAAAGGGAUAAGGAUUCACCUUUCUAUCCAUGCCUUCUUCCUCCUUUGCUCAUCCGUUUUUGCACACUCGAGCUCUAGCGCCCAAGUUCGCACUUCCCACCUCAACCUUCUCCAACCAUGUCCCGAGCGGGAGGCAGGUGGAUGGUAUCCUCCGUCACGGAUGGAGACAUCAAGAAGCUGAGGAGCGCCGGAUACCUGCCUGACGACAUCGCGCACCGGCUCCCAGAUGAGGGGCAGCUCACCCCCACCCCCAGGCCCCAUGAGAGGGUAGUGUUCCUCACCCAUUUCCUCCGCGGACUGGGAUUCCCUCUCCACCCAUUUGUCCCGGGGCUCAUGUUCUAUUACGACCUGGAUUUCCAUGAUCUGGCCCCGAACUUCAUCCUCAACAUCUCGGCGUUUAUCGUUGUGUGCGUGGCCUUCCUCCGCAUCAAGCCCCACUUCGGCUUAUGGUUGAAGACCUUUAAUGUCAAGCCGAAGGUUGUGGGCGACCGCCAGGCGGAGUGCGGAGGCGCCAUGGUGGGCAAGAUGCCCAACGUAACAUGGCUCGAGGGCUCUUUUGUGGAAACCAUAAAGGGGUGGCAAUCGGGUGGUUCUACAUCACCGAGCCGCGUGACCCUGCAUGGGCAGCGGCCCCCCGAGUUCUGAUCUGGCAUCCCCACGCGGCUCACCUCCUGGAAAGAGAAGGGCCUGUCCUGGGGUAGUUUGGAAGAGCUGACCAGACUCCAAACAUGUAUUCAAAACAUGGUGAACAAGAAGCUCAAACUCGUCAACGUGGUCCAGGUCAUGCUCCACCGCCGGAUCCUCCCGUGCCAAUAACGGGAGUUCAACUUGUGGGAGUACAACCCAGCGCAGCACCGAACUCUGAACAGGCUUUUCGACACAACUCACGAAGAUGCCUCGAGGGUGCUGUUCAAAAUCACCAAGGUCCCCCUCCCAUUACUGAGGAUCACGGAUUCAGCGUGAAGCGCCAAGCCAGUGCGGCAGGCUGCUUUACCUUUCACAGGCUACUUAUUUUUUAUAGAUUGACUCCAUGCGGGAUCUAAACUCCCGUACCUUUGACAGGACUGGCAGGAGAUGGCCGGACAGAUCGACUGUCCGGCUCCUAUGCCCGAAGGCCCAGCAGACGCUCUUCUAGCGAAGAUGCUGACUUCGGCUCCUUAUACGGUGCCGGAGAAGACCAAGAAGGACAAGGGAACCCGAAAGAGUUCCCGACGCCAGGCGUCGUCGGACUCACCGUCCGAUGACUCUGCGGCGCACUCCUCCCCCGAAGACGAGGAAGAGGAAGAAGACGCUCCCUCUCUGGCUGGGGGAGAUAAGAAAAGGAAGGCCGCCCCAACUGGGGGGGCGGAAGGGUCCAAGAAGGGAAGGAAUCUCCUUCCGGAUAGUUGCACCGCUGCCGACGAAGGCGAAGACGAGGGGUUGCCCAGGGCCAAGCCCCUGGGGAGAUCGUAAGUAUUCAGAUACCAGAGUAACUCAUAGCAUUCCUUUGUCGCACUGCUUUCCCUAACGUCAAACAUAAUUAUGCAGGUCGCCAUGAGCCAGUAUCGAUGUGUGACGCCCGGAUAAUCAUGCUACAGUAAUCCCACGCUAAUCAUGCCACGUCACCUCGGUUACUGUUGCUAAUCUAUCGUUAGGUCAAAGCUGGUCCAAAAUUCAAAUUCAAAGUUUGGUAAAUAAUAACAGUUUUCAAAAAUUAAAACAAAAAUGUUCGGUGAUUGCCGAAUAAUGCAUAGGUAAUUAUGGUGGAGAAACCACACUUUUAUAAAAUGUUUAAAUAAUCUAAAAUGAAUAAAACAGUAGAAAAACCAAAUCUAAAUGCUUUUAUAAAUAAAUAAAACACUAAACUAAAUUGUUUUGGGAUAAAGCCUUUUGUGGCAGUGGGUUUCGUGGUAUUACAAUUUUAGAGUUCAUUUUAAUACUAAGUAAGAAGUAUAAUUAAGAGAAACUAAAAUAAAGAACAGAAAAAAAAGAAUAAAUAAAAGGAAAAGAAAACACAAAACAGAAAAGAAAACUACCAAAAAAAUAUGGUAAAAGGAGACCCCCCCCACUGGACCCCUUGGCCCAACUGGGCCAUGGCCCAGCCGGCCACCCCCNNNNNNNNNNNNNNNNNNNNNNNNNNNNNNNNNNNNNNNNNNNNNNNNNNNNNNNNNNNNNNNNNNNNNNNNNNNNNNNNNNNNNNNNNNNNNNNNNNNNNNNNNNNNNNNNNNNNNNNNNNNNNNNNNNNNNNNNNNNNNNNNNNNNNNNNNNNNNNNNNNNNNNNNNNNNNNNNNNNNNNNNNNNNNNNNNNNNNNNNNNNNNNNNNNNNNNNNNNNNNNNNNNNNNNNNNNNNNNNNNNNNNNNNNNNNNNNNNNNNNNNNNNNNNNNNNNNNNNNNNNNNNNNNNNNNNNNNNNNNNNNNNNNNNNNNNNNNNNNNNNNNNNNNNNNNNNNNNNNNNNNNNNNNNNNNNNNNNNNNNNNNNNNNNNNNNNNNNNNNNNNNNNNNNNNNNNNNNNNNNNNNNNNNNNNNNNNNNNNNNNNNNNNNNNNNNNNNNNNNNNNNNNNNNNNNNNNNNNNNNNNNNNNNNNNNNNNNNNNNNNNNNNNNNNNNNNNNNNNNNNNNNNNNNNNNNNNNNNNNNNNNNNNNNNNNNNNNNNNNNNNNNNNNNNNNNNNNNNNNNNNNNNNNNNNNNNNNNNNNNNNNNNNNNNNNNNNNNNNNNNNNNNNNNNNNNNNNNNNNNNNNNNNNNNNNNNNNNNNNNNNNNNNNNNNNNNNNNNNNNNNNNNNNNNNNNNNNNNNNNNNNNNNNNNNNNNNNNNNNNNNNNNNNNNNNNNNNNNNNNNNNNNNNNNNNNNNNNNNNNNNNNNNNNNNNNNNNNNNNNNNNNNNNNNNNNNNNNNNNNNNNNNNNNNNNNNNNNNNNNNNNNNNNNNNNNNNNNNNNNNNNNNNNNNNNNNNNNNNNNNNNNNNNNNNNNNNNNNNNNNNNNNNNNNNNNNNNNNNNNNNNNNNNNNNNNNNNNNNNNNNNNNNNNNNNNNNNNNNNNNNNNNNNNNNNNNNNNNNNNNNNNNNNNNNNNNNNNNNNNNNNNNNNNNNNNGCCCCUCGGCGCCCGCUCGGCCCUCUCCUGGGUCGGGCGCCCGUAACGCCCAGCGCCCGUAACCCGCUAUGGCCCCCUGGGCAGUUGACAGAUGGGGCCCACGCCCCUGUCUUGUUAGAAAAAAAAACGAAAAGAAAAUGUAAUUAAAAAAAUGAAAAUAAGUAAUUAGUUAUUUAAUUAAUUAUGUAACUAAUUAAUUAAUUAAAUAAGUAAUUACUUAACUUAAUUAACUCCGUUUAGUACUUAAUUAACUUGAUUAGUUAAUUAAAAUUGUUAAUUAGUUGUUAGACUAUGACGAAUGGGACCCACACGUCAGUUUGACCCAGUCAACGCCCUGUUGACUGCUGACGUCAUGCUGACGUCAGCGUACACUAUUCUGGAUAAUGUUAAUUUAAUUAAUAAUUAAUAAAUUAGAAAAUGAUUUAAAAAUUUAAAAAUUAAUAUAAAUUAAACCGUAGCUCAGAUGAAAAAACUUUGUACAUGAAAGUUGCUCAGAACGACGAGACAAAUCUGGAUACACGGCCUGUUUGUUCGUCACGCAUCCCUAGCAUAGCAAACUCGCAACUUUCCCCUCCGGCUCCUCUGCCCGAAAACGCAAAACACCGGGGAUACUUUCCCGGAUGUCAUCCCCCUUCACCGGUAUCACCUAUUACCGCGUUAGGGCACCUCUAACGCCGUUACUUGUCAUGUCAUGCAUCACUAUGCAUAUGCUUGCUUAAAUAUUUAUUAUUUCUUCCCCCUCUUCUCUCGAUAGACACCGAGACCGACGCCGCUGCUACCCAGUACGACUACGCUGUUGACGACCCUCUUUCUUGCCAGAGCAACCAGGCAAGCGCCCCCCUUGAUCACCAGAUAUCGCCUACUCUCUUCUAUACUGCUUGCAUUAGAGUAGUGUAGCAUGUUACUGCUUUCCGUUAUUCCUAUCCUGAUGCAUAGCCUGUCCUUGCUACUACUGUUGUUACCAUUACCUGCUAUCCUACUGCUUAGUAUAGGAUGCUAGUGUUCCAUCAGUGGCCCUACACUCUUGUCCGUCUGCCAUGCUAUACUACUGGGCCGUGAUCACUUCGGGAGGUGAUCAUGGGCAUAUGCUAUAUACUUUACACAGUUACUUUACCUGUGGUACUGUUCGGAGAUGGGGGCUGAAGGGGCAGGUGGUUCCACCCAGGUAGUGGUGGGCCUGGGUUCCCGACGGCCCCCGACUGUUACUUUGUGGCGGAGCGACAGGGCAGGUUCAGACCACCUAGGAGAGAGGUGGGCCUGGCCCUGGUCGGCGUCCGCGGAUACUUAACACACUUAACGAGAUCUGGGUAUUUGAUCUGAGUCUGGCCAUUUGGUCUAUACGCACUAACCAUCUACGCGGGAGUAGUUAUGGGUAUCCCGACGUCGUGGUAUCAGCCGAAGCCUUCGUGACAUCAGCGACUAAGUGGCGCGUGCCGGAUUGGACCGUAAGCCUGCUCUUGUAUUAAGGGGGCUAGUUCUGCUUCCGGCCGCGUUCGCAACGUGCAGGUGUGCAAAGGGCGAUGGGCCCAGACCCCUGCGCCAUAGGAUUUAGACCAGCGUGCUGACCUCUCUGUUGGGCCUAGGUAGGGCUGCGACGUGUUGAUCUUCCGAGGCCGGGCAUGACCCAGAAAAGUGUGUCCGGCCAAAUGGGAUCGAGCGUGUUGGGGUAUGUGGUGCACCCCUGCAGGGAAGUUUAUCUAUUCGAAUAGCCGUGUCCCUCGGUAAAAGGACGACCCGGAGUUGUACUUUGACCUUAUGAUAACUAGAACCGGAUACUUAAUAAAACACACCCUUCCAAGUGCCAGAUACAACCGGUGAUCGCUCUCUCACAGGGCGACGAGGGGAGGAUCAUCGGUUAGGAUUAUGCUAUGCGAUGCUACUUGGAGGACUUCAGUCUACUCUCUUCUACAUGCUGCAAGACGGAGGUUACCAGAAGCGUAGUCUUCGAAAGGACUAGCUAUCCCCCUCUUAUUCCGGCAUUCUGCAGUUCAGUCCACAUAUGAUAGCCUUAUUCCAAUUGAUACCAAUGCAUACAUAUGUAGUGUAGCUCCUUGCUUGCGAGUACUUUGGAUGAGUACUCACGGUUGCUUUCUCCCUCUUUCCCCCCUAUCCCUUCUACCUGGUUGUCGCGACCAGAUGUUGGAGCUCAGGAGCCAGACGCCACCGUUGACGACGACUCCUACUACACCGGUGGUGCCUACUACUACGUGCUGUCCGCUGACGACGACCAGGAGUAGUUUAGGAGGAUCCCAGGCAAGAGGCCUGCGCCUCUUUCGAUCUAUAGCUCAGUUUGUGCUAGCCUUCUUAAGGCAAACUUGUUUAACUUAUGUCUGUACUCAGAUAUUGUUGCUUCCGCUGACUCGUCUAUGAUCGAGCUCUUGUAUUCGAGCCCUCGAGGUCCCUGGCUUGUAAUAUGAUGCUUGUAUGACUUAUUUUAUUUGUAGAGUUGUGUUGUGAUAUCUUUCUGUGAGUCCCUGAUCUUGAUCGUACACGUUUGCGUGUAUGAUUAGUGUACGGUCAAAUCGGGGGCGUCACACGAUGUAUCAUCGGACGGUUCCCUAGGCUCGUCGGACAUGGAUAGCGAUCCAGUCCCGACCCCCACCUCCCCUCAUCCUGCUGACGACGCCGAGGUGCUGUCUCAAGAGGCAUCGGGUCGAGGGGAGACAGUCCUGGAGGCACCUCAAGGCGACCUUCCGGACUCCGGGAGCCGAGGGGACGGGGCCCCUAAGAGCUUCGAGUUCGGCCCUCAGCCGAACACCGCGCUGGAACCUCCAGUGGUUCCGGGCUCGGUCAGGCGGCCUCCUUCUAAGAGGGGCAAGACACCUGUGCCGGUGACCUCUGUCUAUCCAGAGGCGCCGGACAAUCUGCUGGAAGCGCUUCGCAGCGCUUCCAUCGACGAGGAGCACCGCACUAUCAUGAGUGCGGCGAUCCAGAAAGUUUAGUCCGCCAAGAGCGGAUUGACUGAAGCCUGUGCCAGCCUUCUAACAGGCUUUGAGGUAAGUGUUUUAAAAUAUAGGAAAAAUACUACUGCAUAUAUAGUAGCCCCUGAUGCUUUGUUCGGUGUUCAGAAAGAAAAGCCGAACAGAGGAUCAAAUAAUAUCGCAGGACUCUAAUAUAAGUAUGUCAAUAUGCGUAUGCAAGCCUCACUGCUGGCAUCCGCCACACUGACUGCGGAGGUCGCCCUACUGAAGCAGGACCUCGAGAGGUCUAGGAGAGAGCUCGGCCUUGUCAAGAGGCAGCUCGAGGAGAACAAGGGUAAGUAAUACCUUGUCUUUAGAUAUGUAUAUAUAAAAGAAGAAGCGAUUGCAAAAUGACAGGAUCAUCGUACAUUCGCCAGGGGCCACGACCAAGGUGGCAACCCUCAAGCAAGCGCUAACCAAGGCCGAAGAUAACGCGGCCAAGGAGCGCACCGAGUGAGAGAAGCACGAGGCUCGGGUGGGCGAGGUGCAGCAAGAGCUCUAGGCUAUCAUGGUGAAGCACGAGGCAUUGGAGCUUGACUAAAAGACGCGAGAGUCUGAGCUUUCCGCGGCCCUCGAGAGCGCAAAAAGUGCCAAGGCCGAAGCCCAAAGGGGUCUCCAGGCGGGUAUGGCUUUCUAUAUGCAAAGCAAGCAUGUAAAAGUAAAUUACCGAUUACUUACUCGAAUCCGGAGCUCUCCAGGAGCAUUCGCAGAUUUUCCACGCAGCGUGUCCGAUGCCGCACAAUUUUACCAGGCCGAGGAUGGAAGCUCAAUGGAGAAGCUGUUCUGGUAUCAGUAUGCUGAGGCCGGACACCCGGUGCCAAUGAGCGACCAGCUGAAGCAGGUGGUCGAGCUACAUAAGGCGGCCGAUCAGGCCAUGAAGGGCUUUAUAGUCCGGCUGUGGCCUGGCGACGCCCUUCCGAACAGCUUCCUCGGCCUGGUGAGGCGGCUUGUGGAUGCCUGCCCGCGGCUGGAGGUCGUCAAGCGAUCUGUCUACAUUGAGGGUGCACGCCGGGCUUUCGCCCGUGUGAAAUUGCAGUGGGUCAAGCUAGACGCCGUGAAGCUGAUCAAGGAGGGGCCGCCGGAGGGCAAGGAGCACCGCCACCCCGAGAUGUACUACGAGGGUGUUCUGCUGGGUGCCCGUCUCAUAGCGGACGAGUGUUCAAAAGAUGUAAUAUUUGAGUGAGACUUGCUCGUUUUAUCCUGUAUUUAUGAAAACUUGUUUCAUAUGCACUAUGCAACGCUUGUUUGAAUUUAGAAUAUUACCUUCUGUUUGGCCGUUUAUCAAUCUGAGAGAUGGCUAGUCCUCAGCUUCUGCCCCCAUGCCACGAGUGCUGGGGUCUUCGGGAUAAACCUGAGCACUCUUGUUCCCAUAUUUGGGUCCUUGGAGGGAGGUGCUCAGCACAACGAACAAGGAAACCCGACUAAUAAUGCUUUAUCACUCUCACUUAGCGAUAGAAUUCUAUAAUUUUAAAUUUCGGCGAAGCCCCUGGUAUUCGGAAGGCCGAAUUCGGGGCGCGAUACACGCCUUUAAGCCGGACAGGGCCGGCCCCUCGCCCUAAGCGGCAUAAGUCUUUGGGGACUCGAUAACCUCGCCGAACAGCGAUCAGUCUCUCCCCUUAUCAUGACAGUCAGUUUUAGCUUUCUCUACUUAGGUGCCGAACCCAGCAAAACCGGGGCACAAUCGCAGUAGUUCUCCUAGCGCUACCUUAGCCGAUAGAGUGGAACGUAAGGUACCAAAACAUAGGAGCCGGGCAAACCCAACAUUUGACCAAAGACAUGAUUCGGAGCUGAUGCAUAUAAUGCUAUAAGUUUGGGGUGCCGCACUUGUGAAAGUGUUCGGACUUUUCACACCGUAUUGUGGGGUACGUAAGCCCCUGGUGUAUUGGCCGUACCAAAGUGUACGGUUGCAAGGCAUCAUUAAUGAACAUAUAUAUAUAUAUAUAUAUAUAUAUAUAACAAGAGUGCAAUAAUAGUCGUAAUGUCAUGCAUUGUUUAUUCAAAAAAUUACGUUAAAGUAGGGUGAUACAGAUAGUGUGAUAAGCAAAGAGUAGGACUAUGUCCCUUCCCAAGGCAAGCUAAGGAAUGAUAUUAAAUUGAAUAUUUCGCUCGUUACAGUAAUCCACCUAGGAAUUCCGUGGUGUGACGUAGCUAUCUGCCUCCUUGGUUGCUGCAUCGUGUGUUCGGCAAUAGUGCUGCCGGACAGUGUUUCCAGAGGUUAAUGUCCUGAAAAAAAGAGAAAAAUAACCAAACGGGAAGCCCCUAGUGCGGUUUAAGCCGCGUCUUGGGGCGUGCUGCAGUUGUGCCACCCUCCCCACCUGUGCCCAUGGUAUUUUUAAUGCGUAAUUAUGUACGCGUGGCAUGAGUUUCGUCGUUGGGCUGGGAUUGGGGUGGCCGCCUUAUUGCUACGCGAGCUCAGAUCGCGCAAGGCGGUCUAUUUGCCGAUUGCUCCGAGCGCGCUUGAAGGUGUCCGGGCUUUGAAGCGCCGGACUGGUUGAUUGCCUUGAGAGGCUGCUUUGCGCUUCUGCUGCGAGGGCCGCGGUGUGCUCCUCUGUUCGGAGAGAGCACUCUGUGUUUCCAUUGACUGUAAUAACUCCGCGAGGUCCUGACAUCUUGAGCUUGAGGUAUGCAUAGUGCGGUACCGCAUUGAAUCUAGCAAAUGCGGUUCGCUCGAGCAGCGCGUGGUAACCACUGCGGAAUGGGACUAUAUCGAAGAUUAGCUCUUCGCUUCGGAAGUUAUCCGGGGAUCCGAAGACCACUUCCAGUGUAAUUGAGCCUGUGCAAUGGGCCUCUACACCUGGAAUGAGGCCUUUAAAGGUCGUUUUUGUGGGUUUGAUCCUUGAGGGGUCUAUACCCAUUUUGCGCACUAUAUCCUGAUAAAGUAGGUUCAGGCUGCUGCCGCCAUCCAUAAGGACUCGAGUGAGGUGAAAUCCGUCAAUGAUUGGGUCUAGGACUAGUGCGGAAAAUCUACCAUGAUGGAUACUAGUGGGGUGGUCCCUUCGAUCGAAGGUGAUCGGAUAGGAGGACCAAGGGUUGAACUUUGGGGUGACUGGCUCGAACGCAUAUACGUCCAUGAGCGCACGCUUCCGCUCCCUCUUAGGGAUGUGGGUUGCGUAUAUCAUGUUCACCGUCUGCAGUUGCGGGGGAAACCUCUUCUGUCCUUCGAUGUGCGGCUGCCGGGGCUCCUCCUCGUCAUCGCUAUGCGGCCCCUUGUCCUUCUUUUCGGCAAUUAACUUGCGGGCCUGCUUGAACACCCAACAAUCCCUGUUGGUGUGAUUGGCUGGCUUGUCUAGGGUGCCGUGUAUUUGACACGAGCGAUCGAGUAUACGUUCCAAGCUGGAUGGACCUGGCGUACUUUGUUUGAAUGGCUUUUUCCGCUGACCGGGUUUAGAGCCUUUGAAUCCGGCAUUGACUGCCGUAUCCUCGGUAUUUUCGCUGUUAAUGCGGCGGUUAUGUUUGUUGUGACAUGACCUGCUAUUGCCAUCCUUGGUAUCGGAGGUACCAUGGUUCUUUGAUAUGUUAUUACUACGGGCCAGCCAGCUGUCUUCUCCCGCACAAAAGCGGGUCAUGAGCGUCGUGAGAGCUGCCAUAGAUUUCGGCUUUUCCUGACCAAGGUGCCAGGCUAGCCACUCGUCUCGGAUGUUGUGUCUGAAAGCCGCUAAGGCCUCUGCAUCCGGACAGUCGACGAUUUGAUUUUUCUUUGUGAGGAACCAAGUCCAGAAUUGCCUAGCCGACUCUUCUGGCUGCUGAAUUAUGUGGCUCAAGUCAUCGGCGUCUAGUGGUCGCACAUAAGUGCCCUGAAAGUUGUUGAGGAAUGCGGCUUCCAGAUCUUCCCAACAGCUAAUGGAGUCCGCUGGCAAGCUGUUAAGCCAAUGCCGCGCUGGUCCUUUGAGCUUUAGUGGAAGAUAUUUGAUGGCGUGUAAGUCAUCACCGUGGGCCAUGUGGAUGUGGAGGAGGAAAUCCUCGAUCGAUACUGCAGGAUCUGUUGUGCCGUCGUAUGAUUCAAUAUUUACAGGUUUGAAACCUUCUGGGAAUUGAUGAUCCAUUACUUCGUCUCUGAAGCAUAAGGGGUGUGCGGCGCCUCUGUAGUGGGCUAUAUCGCGACGCAGCUCGAAUGGGUCUUGCCCGCUGUGUUCGGCCCGGCCGGAUUUGCUUUUACUGUAUCCGGCGUGACAUUUAUCGUCUCGCAGAGUUGUGCGCCCUCGUGAUCCGUAGAUCGAUCUUGCAUGCUUUGCUUUGUCCUCCAAUAUAUCUCGCAGGUCUGGCGUAUCUCCCCAUGCCUUUUUAUUUGAAUGGCGUCGGGGUGGAGGCUGAGUUUUUGGCUGGACUGCCUCUCUAUCGCGGCCACGAGGUGGCCGAUCCGGGCAGUAACCUGCACUUUGGGUAAUUCUUGGAGGGGUGCUUGAGUUUAUAUUCCUCGGCCGCGAGGACUUCAGUCCAUCUGUUAGUUAAGAGAUCUUGAUCAGCUUGAAGCUGCUGCUGCUUUUUCUUUAGGCUAUUUUCCGUGGCCAUAAGCCGGUGCUUGAAGCGCUCUUGUUCGAUGGGAUCCUCUGGUACAUCGAAUUCAUCAUCGCCGAGGCUUGCCUCGUCUUCGGAGGCGGGCGUGUAAUUGUCAUCCUCCUCCUCUCCGUCUGCCGCUCUUUCAGGAGGGUUGGCUCCUCCAUCCUCCUGCUCUAAAUCUUGCUGGAGGGGAUUAUUGUUGUCUUCGGCACUAUCCGGAGUGUUAUUAUCUCCUGUGCCGGUAUCACCACUUUUGCUUUGGCGGGACUUAGAGCGGCGCCGCUGACAUCGGCGCUUGGGUUGCUUCUUGGAGAGGUCAUCCUCCGUUAUCUCGUCGCCAUUGCCUUCUUUGGGUGUAUCCACCAUGUAUAUGUCGUAUGAUGAUGUGGCUUUCGAGUGCCCUAUGGGCGCUGGUUCAUGUUCAUCUCCUACAUCGUCGUCCAUACCAUCGAUGUCUUCGGAGUCGAAGUCGAGCAUGUCGGUUAAAUUAUCGACAGUGGCUACGAAGUGGGUGGUGGGUGGGCAUCGAAUUUCUUCGUCGUCCGCCUCCCAAUCCUGUUGGCCAUAGUCCGGCCAGGGCUCUCCUGACAAAGAGAGAGACUUUAGUGAAUUCAGAAUGUCACCGAAGGACGAGUGCUGCAAGAUAUCAGCGGCGGCGAAUUCCAUGAUCGGCGCCCAGUCGGAUUCAAUUGGCAGGGGCGCGGACGGUUCGGAGUCCGGAAAAGAGUCCGGCACCUUGGAGUCACGGGCUUUGCAGAGGAUUAGGCUGGUGUUCAACUCGAUCACCGUUGAGACUGCAGCCCCUGAGGCGGUGUCUAGCCACCCGUCCUCGACUGGCGCAGUUGGCUCCGAGCUAAGGGUCAGAGCUGAUGCGGGCGCGGCCUCUGGGGUACUGUCCGGUGGUAGAGCUAGGUCAUACCCAUCGUGACAGUGCAGCGCGCCCGGCUGUGGCUUGAAUCCGUCGAAGAUCAAGUCUCCGAGGAUGUCGGCCGUGUAGUUCAAACUUCCAAAUCUGACCUGAUGGCCAGGGGUGUAGCUUUCAAUCUGCUCCAGAUGGCCAAGCGAAUUAGCCCGUAGUGCAAAGCCGCCGAACACUGGACCGCAUCGUUGUUCAUGAUCGGAGGAGCCAUCGGGCCUAAAGGUGACGACACCGAGGAAAUCUCAAUGGAAGCACCAAUGUCGGUGUCAAAUCCGGCGGAUCUCGGGUAGGGGGUCCCGAACUGUGCGUCUAGGCCGGAUGGUAACAGGAGGCAGGGGACACAAUGUUUUACCCAGGUUCGGGCCCUCUUGAUGGACGUAAAACCCUAUGUCCUUCUUGAUUAAUAUUGAUGAUAUGUGUAGUACAAGAGUAGAUCUACCACGAGAUCAGAGAGGCUAAACCCUAGAAGCUAGCCUAUGGUAUGAUUGUAUACGUCCUACGGACUAAAACCCUCCAGUUUAUAUAAACACCGGAGAGGGUUAGAGUUACACAAGGUCGGUUGCAAAGGAGGAGAUAUCCAUAUCCGUAUUGCCUAGCUUGCCUUCCACGCCAAGUAGAGUCCCAUCCGGACACGGGACGGAGUCUUCAAUCUUGUAUCUUUAUAGUCCAACAGUCCGGCUGUCCGGAGACCCCCUAAUCCAGGACUCCCUCACCCCCACUCCCUAUCGAACCCUAGCCCAAUCGCCCCACCUCCCCCACACCCCCUCGCCAGCCUCCCCACCUCUUGAUCCCAUCUGGAUCGGGGAGGGGAUCACCCCCAUCGACCCCGUCGCCGUCGCCGGAUCGCCCGUCAGCGUCGCCAGGCCUCCUCCCCGCCGCCCGUCUCCGGCUCGCCUCCCCUCUCGCUCCUCUUUCCCGACCCGAUCAGGAUCGUGAACGAGCAAUGAGCGCGACGCCCCCCCUUCAUCGGCGCCAUCACCGUGCGCCACCACCACCGCCUGAAGACCUCGCCGUCGCUGACCUUGUGUCGUCUCCUGGUAUCCCUUCCCGACUCGCGUCCUCAAGCCAGGCCGACCCCCUUCUCGGCAAUGCUGUGAGACGCCCCCCGUUUCCCUCCUCUUUCCACCGUGUUCACCGCGCCGCCUGACGAAGCUACGUACCUAGGGUAGGGGCAUGGACCUGUCCUAAGAGCCCUACCCAAGGACAUCCCUGGAAGAAGUCACCUUUCAAUCGACUUGAAGGUACCCACUCGACGGGUUUAAGACACUCGACCAAGAAGCUACCACUCGACAUGAAGCCAAUCACUCGACUGCCAGGAGAUCUAAAGUCAUUCCACGGGCAAACGGUCGGCUAUUAAGUAGUCUUUAUGGUCAUUAUAGCACUUUAUUACCAGCAUUACCAGUAACGCCCCGCCUUAAUGUACAUUGAACCCUUGGUAACGUAGGCUGGCCGGGGUCCUGGCGCGCUCUAUAUAAGUCACCCCCUCCUCCGAGACAAGGGUUCGCACCUCUAUUGUUCACAUGCCUAUAAUCCAAUCGACCGCCUCCGGGCACUGAGACGUAGGGCUGUUACUUCCUCCGCGAAGGGCCUGAACUCGUACACCUUGGUGUGUUUACAACUUCCCAAUAGCUGAGAUCUAGCCUCUCCAUACACACCCCCCUACAUCACUGUCAGAGUUAGAACCACAAUAGUUGGCGCCCACCGCGGGGCCAGAAUCUUAGCGCUUACUUGGAGAAGUUGCGAUUCUUCUGAUCCCUUUGAUCAUGGUUUCAUGCGGAGUUUUGGUGGAGGGGCGCGAGAUCCGUCUCGGCGCGCUCACAUUCAUCGCCGACGACUCCGCUUGGUUUCAGGAGGCUCCACUCGACAUCGACGUGCUCCCCGUCCGUGGUGCGACGCACUUCCGCGCAUGCGUUCGUGGCGUCCUCCUGCGGCAGCCGUCGACCCAGUAUCGGUCGGCCCUCGUGUCGUCUCCCCGCUCUGUCUCCCUCCGACGCAAGCGCUUUGGUAGGUCGAGACUUUAGAGGUGGGUGAGGCAUGCCGUGGCUCGCCAGUCGGCCGCCCCACAAGUCGCGGCAAUCGAGCCCGACAAAUCCCUCUGCAGCCUGUUCGACUGGCUCCGCGGAGACUUCAUCCGAGUGUGACAGCAGAGACCCAGCGGCUGAGGUUCUGGCGGUCGAUGGGACACACUGUCCUCCCGGUUUCCCUCGCGCUAAUGGAGGCGCGGGUGGGGGCGACCCGUCGCAUCCCCACGAUGAGUAUCUCCCCGAAUGUCUCACGGCAUCGCAGCGAGAGGAACUUCACCGCCGGAACAUAGACGCACUCCACACUCCUAUCGUCGGAGAAACCCCCGAGGCCCGGGCCUUGGAGGACGCGCGCUUGGCUAACUUGGCUGAGCGCACUCGACUGGAGAAUCUCCAGCUAAUACUCGAUGAGCAAGCGCGCCAGUGAGCUCCCGAGUCCAGUCGACGUCAGCUCUUUCCGCCGAUGCAGGUAUAUUGAACCCUAGUUCAGAAUUUGGCCGCCGCGGCCCGUAUAGCAGAGUCAAUUCAGCCCUCCCAGUCAGAGGCUGGCAGGGGCUUGUUGCAGAUCAGAGCAUUGCUCCGGGCGGCGGGGAACCAGAAUUCCGCUGUUUCUCAGUCGCAGAAUAGGAUCCACAGUCGAUCCGUUGCAACAGAUACAGUCCAGUCGGCUCACAGCCCGAGAUCGCCCCCGAGGCGUGAGGGACAUGGAGACCGGCACGAUCAGUACAGAAGAAAUGAGCAGUAUGAUCACCGAUUCGAUCGUGAGGAUCGACGUCGAGUGCCAACCCCUCCCCCGAGGAGUGGGUCAUAUGCGCCUCGAUAGCGAGAUGACAGGCGCCCUCAUAGUGUUGGGCAGAGGAUUCCAGUCGACCCCAGGGACCCAGGCUUUGAUGCGAGAUCCAUCCUUGAUCAAGGUCUGGUUGACAGGAACGGGGCUCACCGAGAAUGCCAGGACAGAGAUGCGCCUGCCAGCAGCAGAGUGCGUGUUUCAGGGACAGAGUGUUUCAGUCGAGCCAUCAGAGCCACAGUGAUUCCUCCCAACUUCAGGUUGGCGACUGGAGUCAGCUAGUUCACCGGUGAGUCUAAGCCUGACACUUGGCUCGAAGAUUACCGAGUGGCUGUACAGAUUGGCAGUGGCAAUGAUGAGGUGGACAUGAAGCAUUUGCCUCUCAUGUUAGAGGGCUCAGCCAGAGCAUGGCUAAAUCAGUUAGUGCCCAGCAGCAUUUACACUUGGGAGGACCUCUCCCGAGUGUUUGUCACAACCUUUGAGGGAACAUGCAAGCGACCUGCAGGCCUUACAGAGUUGCGGUCUUGCACGCAGAAACCGAAUGAAACGCUGAGGGAUUACAUCCAGAGGUGGAUCACAUUGCAUCACACAGUUGAGAAUGUUCCAGAUCAUCAAGCAGUUUGUGCCUUCAAAGAAGGCGUUAAGUACAGAGAAUUGAAUCUGAAGUUCGGUCGAACUGGAGAGAUGUCUCUGAAUCGGAUGAUGGAGAUUGCCACCAAAUACGCUAAUGGUGAAGACGAAGAUCGCCUCCGGAGUGGCAAGCGCAAGGCAGUCGCCCAAGAAACCGGAGGAAACUCCAGUCAGAAACAGAAGCGGAAGGCUGAGCCAGCCGCCCCUGGGGAGGCCCUGGCCGUAACCCAGGGAAAUUUCAAGGGAAAACCCAAGGGCCCCUGGAAGCCCAAGAAAGUCAAGGAUCAAGAUGGAAAUGAUGUUUUGGAUCUGCCAUGUCACUCCACACCAAGAAAGAUGAAGAGGGUAAUUUUAUUUACCCAAAGCAUACCACUCGACAGUGCCAGCUCCUGAUCCAGCAGUUUCAGGGCAAGCAACCCAAAGAUAAGGAAAAAGAGCCAGACAGAGUUGAGGACAAGGAUGAUAGUGACGAUGGAUACCCCCAAGUCAAUUCCACCCUGAUGAUUUUUGCUGAUGUCGAAAGCAAAAGUCGACUGAAAGUCAUUAAUCGUGAAGUGAAUAUGGUUGCUCCGGCAACACCUAGUUAUCUGAAGUGGUCUCAGGCUGCCAUAACAUUCGACCAGUCUGAUCACCCUACGCACAUUGCCACCCCUGGGAGGCAAGCUUUGGUGGUCGACCCAGUUGUCGAAGGCACUCGACUGACCAAAGUCCUGAUGGAUGGUGGCAGUGGCCUGAACAUACUGUAUGCUAAAACAUUGAAAGGGAUGGGCAUUCCGAUGUCCGGGCUCAGUACCAGCAACAUGAGCUUCCACGGAGUCAUUCCCGGGAAGUAAGCCGAAUCACUCGGCCAGAUUGCUCUUGAUGUGGUUUUCGGUGAUUCAAAGACUUACCGCAAGGAAAAGUUGACAUUCGAGGUUGUGGACUUCCAAAGUGCUUAUCAUGCCAUUUUGGGCAGACCAGCUUAUGCACGCUUCAUGGCCUGACCAUGUUAUGUGUAUCUCAAAUUGAAGAUGCCUGGUCCUAAAGGUGUGAUCACUGUUACAGGCAAUCGGAAGAAGGCAGAAGAGUGUUUUCAGAAAGGCUCAAAGAUUGCUGACGCUCAGAUGGCAGUGGUUGAGCUGCAAGAGUAUCAGAAGACUGCAGAUCCGAGUGAGUUGCUACGAGCUAAGAAGCCCACUUCGGAGUCAGCUUUUCAGUAGUCUGGUGAAAUGAAGGCAGUUCACAUUCACCCGACCAACCCCGAGGCUGCCCCGACUCACAUCUCAAAGACGCUCGACUCCAAAUAGGAAGAAGUGCUCAUCCAGUUCCUCCGUGAGAACUGGGACAUCUUCGCAUGGAAGCCUUCUGACAUGCCUGGAAUAACCAGGGGGCUGGCUGAGCACCGUCUACGAGUCGACCCAAAGUUCAAGCCUAUGAAAGAACAUCUUCGACGGUCCGCCGUCCAAAAGAGGAAAGCUAUUGGCGAGGAGGUGGCUCGGCUCUUAGCAGCAGAGUUCAUCCGAGAGAUGUACCACUCUGAGUGGCUCGCCAAUGUUGUCAUGGUCCCCAAGAAGGACAAGUCGCUUCGCAUAUGCAUCGACUUUAAACAUAUCAAUCGGGCCUGCCCGAAAGAUCAUUUUCCUCUCCCUCGCAUCGACCAAAUAGUCGACUUGACCGCGGGGUGUGAGCGAUUGUCUUUUCUAGACGGCUAUUCCGGGUACCAUCAGAUCCGUCUGUAUGGACCCGAUGAGAUCAAAACAGCUUUCAUCACUCCAUUCGGGUGCUUCCGUUAUGUCACCAUGCCCUUCGGCCUCAAGAACGCUGGAGCCACGUUCAUGAGGAUGAUUCAGAAGUGUUUGCUCACUCAAAUCAGUCGGAACGUGGAAGCAUACAUGGAUGAUAUUGUGGUCAAGUCGCGGAAAGGUUCCGACCUGCUGACUGACCUUGCUGCAACCUUUGCCAACCUUAGGAGGUAUGAUAUCAAGCUUAAUCCAUCAAACUGCACAUUCGGAGUUCCGGGUGGAAAGUUACUCGGUUUUCUCGUUUCCGAAUGAGGAAUCAACGCCAAUCCCGAGAAAGUUGGCACCAUACUCCGGAUGAAGCGCCCUGUGCGUGUGCACGAUGUCCAGAAGCUUAUGGGUUGCUUGGCCGCUCUAAGUCGAUUCAUUUCUCGUCUCAGUGAAAAGGCAUUGCCUCUUUACCGACUGAUGAAGAAGUCUGACAAGUUCGAGUGGACUCCAGAAGCUGAUGCAGCGUUUGCAGACCUCAAAGCUCUGCUCUCCACCCAGCCGGUGCUUGCUGCCCCAAUCAGUAAAGAGCCUUUGCUGCUUUACAUUGCAGCCACAGGACAAGUUGUCAGUACAGUACUUAUGGUCGAGCGGGAAGAUGAAGGAUAGGCCUUCAGAGUUCAACGCCCAGUAUAUUAUGUGUCUGAAGUUUUGACACCUUCAAAACAAAGAUAUCCUCAUUAUCAGAAGCUUGUAUACGGGAUUUAUAUGACCACGAAGAAGGUUGCACAUUACUUCUCUGACCACUCCAUUACAGUCGUCAGCGACGCCCCACUGUCAGAGAUUCUGCAUAACAGAGAUGCAACUGGUCGAGUGGCGAAGUGGGCGAUUGAACUCCUUCCCCUAGAUAUCAAGUUUGAAGCAAAUAAGGCUAUCAAGUCCCAAGCAAUUGCAGAUUUCAUCACCGAGUGGAUCGAACAGCAGCUUCCGACUCAAGUUCACCCGGAGCACUGGACCAUGUUCUUCGAUGGAUCUAAGAUGCUGAAUGGUUCCGGUGCUGGGGUAGUAUUGGUCUCCCCCCGAGGAGAUAAGCUCAGAUAUGUUCUCCAGAUUCACUUUGAUUCCUCCAAUAAUGAAGCAGAAUAUGAAGCACUUUUGUAUGGGUUGCGCAUGGCCAUUUCACUUGGCGUCCGUCGCCUCAUGGUCUAUGGCGACUCAGAUUUGGUGGUUAAUCAGGCGAUGAAGGAGUGAGACGUCAGAAGUCCGGCAAUGACUGGUUAUUGCAAUGUAGUGAGAAAGCUAGAAAAGAAAUUCGAGGGGUUAGAGCUUCAUCACAUCCCCCGACUGAAAAAUCAGGUAGCUGACGAUUUGGCAAAGAUAGGCCCCAAGAGAGAAGCCAUUCCCAGCAACGUGUUCCUGGAACACAUUCAUUCGCCAUCAGUCCAAGAAGAUCCUUUUACAGAAGAAGCCCCGCAGCCGAAAAGUGCCACAGAUCCGACUGAAGUCGAAGUCCCUGCUGUGGUCGACCUAAUCAUGGAAGUCUUCGCAAUCACUCCCGACUGGACGAUACCGUACAUCGCGUAUAUCCUAAGGAAAGAACUCCCGGAGGACGAGGAAGAGGCUCGACAGAUCGUCCGCCGAUCCAAAGCCUUCACAGUCACAAGGGGACAGUUGUAUAGAGAAAGCGCGACUGGGAUCGGUCAGAAGUGCAUAACACUAGAAGAGGUUCAGAUAAUCCUUGACGACAUCCACUCGCGGACCUGUGGUCACCAUGCGUCUUCUCGGACCAUUGUGGCUAAAGCAUACCGAGCGGGAUUUUACUGGCCAAGAGCAAAUGAGAUGGCAAAAGAGAUAGUCGACCAGUGUGGAGGGUGCUAGUUCUACUCCAACAUGUCACACAAGCCUGCGUCAGCCCUGAAGACCAUUCCACUCGUCUGGCCCUUUGCUGUCUGGGGACUGGACAUGGUUGGUCCACUAAGAACAGGCAGGAGCGGUUUCACUCAUGUGCUUGUGGUAGUCGACAAGUUUACCAAAUGGAUUGAGGCUAAGCGCAUCAAGAAUCUUGAUGCUUGCACUACUAUCAGUUUCGUCAGAGGGCUAACAUUCAGAUAUGGAGUCCCGCAUAGCAUCAUCACUGACAAUGGGUCAAACUUUGAUUCGGACAAGUUCAGAGCUUUUUGCGCCUCUCAAGGCACACGAGUCGACUACGCAUCGGUCGCCCAUCCCCAGUCGAAUGGACAAGCAGAGAGAGCAAAUGGUUUGAUUCUCAAAGGACUAAAGCCUCGACUGAUGCGCGAUCUCAAGCACGCGGCAGGUGCUUAGGUCGACGAGCUUCCGUCAGUUCUGUGGGGAUUGAGGACCACCCCGAACCGGUCGACUGGAGGAACUCCAUUCUUUCUGGUUUAUGGAGCCGAGGCAGUUCUGCCGAGUGAUCUUCUUCACAACGCACCCCGAGUCGAACUUUAUACCGAAGAUGAAGCAGAACAAGCCCGGCAAGACGCAGUCGACCUACUAGAAGAAGAGAGGGAGAUGGCCAUGAUCAGAUCGACCAUUUAUCAGCAAGACUUGCGUCGAUUCCACGCUAGGAAUGUGAAGAGUCGAGCCUUCCAAGAAGGAGAUUUGGUCCUCCUAGUGGAUCAACAGAAACCACACAAGCUUGCUCCUACUUGGGAAGGCCCCUUCAUCGUCACCAGAGUCCUCCACAAUGGAGCGUAUCACCUCUACAAUGUUGAUCGCCAGAUCGAUGAGCCGCGAGCUUGGAAUGCGGAACUGCUCCGCCCCUUUUACACUUGAGUUCUCCCUUGGACGAGAUGUAAUAAGAAAAAAUUUCUGCAGUUCAUUUUUAUCAAAGGCAAGAGUGUUCCAAUAAUUGCUGUCACUUUUGUUUGCAUACGAAAUCCCCCAGUGGGUGACUUAGCUGCGAAUCCGUUUCGCCUAAGUUUGAAAAAUCCUACCGAGUGGAGAGCCAGAUUCCCACUCGGGGGCUUAGCUCCAGCCCAGUGCUUGCCUAAGUGUUCAAAAAUCCUACCAAGUGAGAGCAAUCCUCCCACUUGGGGGCUUAGCUGCAGUCCAGUACUCGCCUAAGUUCUCCCACUUAGAGACUUAGCUGCAGUCAGGCACUCGCCUAAGUUUGAAAAAAUCCUACCGAGUGGAGAGCAAUCCUCCCACUCGAGGGCUUAGCUGCAGUCCAGUACUCGCCUAAGUUCUCCCACUUAGAGACUUAGCUACAGUCAGGCACUCGCCUAAGUUUGAAAAAAUCCUACCGAGUGGAGAGCAACCCUCCGACUCGGGGGCUUAGCUGCAGUCCAGUACUCACCAAAGUUCUCCCACUUAGAGACUUAGCUANNNNNNNNNNNNNNNNNNNNNNNNNNNNNNNNNNNNNNNNNNNNNNNNNNNNNNNNNNNNNNNNNNNNNNNNNNNNNNNNNNNNNNNNNNNNNNNNNNNNNNNNNNNNNNNNNNNNNNNNNNNNNNNNNNNNNNNNNNNNNNNNNNNNNNNNNNNNNNNNNNNNNNNNNNNNNNNNNNNNNNNNNNNNNNNNNNNNNNNNNNNNNNNNNNNNNCUCUCCUUCCGAGCUACGCCACAAGUACAACAUGCGCUCUGCAAGGAGGACGAGGUGCAGGUCGACUGCUACCCUCUCCUUCCGAGCUACGCCACCAAUUCAAAAUCCUACUGAGUGGAGAGCAAACCUCCCACUCGGGGGCUUAGCUGCAGCCCAGUGCUCGCCUAAGUAUUUGAAAUCCUACCGAGUGGAGAGCAAACCUCCCACUCAGGGGCUUAGCUGCAGCNNNNNNNNNNNNNNNNNNNNNNNNNNNNNNNNNNNNNNNNNNNNNNNNNNNNNNNNNNNNNNNNNNNNNNNNNNNNNNNNAAAUCCUACCGAGUGGAGAGCAAACCUCCCACUCGGGGGCUUAGCUACAGCCCAGUGCUCGCCUAAGUAUUUAAAAAUCCUACCGAGUGGAGAGGAAACCUCCCACUCGGGGGCUUAGCUGCAGCCCAGUGCUCGCCUAUGUGUUUAGAAAUCCUACCGAGUGGAGAGCAAACCUCCCACUCGGGGGCUUAGCUGCAGCCCAGUGCUCGCCUAAGUGUUUAGAAAUCCUACCGAGUGGAGAGCAAACCUCCCACUCGGGGGCUUAGCUGCAGCCCAGUGCUCGCCUAAGUGUUUAGAAAUCCUACCGAGUGGAGAGCAAACCUCCCACUCGGGGGCUUAGCUGCAGCCCAGUGGUCGCCUAAGUGUUUAAAAAUCCUACCGAGUGGAGAGCCAGACUCCCACUCGGGGGCUUAGCUGCAGCCUAGCGCUCGCCUAAGUGUUUAAAAAUCCUACCGAGUGAGAGCAAACCCCUCACUCGGAGGGCUUAGCUGCAGCCCGGUGCUCACCUAAGUACAGGACACAACCCAAUCCGCAAGAAGUUACGCCACAAAUACAAGGUUAUUCCGAGUGAAGAUCAAGUUGCACUCGACAGAUCAAACCAUGAAGAUAUCCAACGAGAAAUCAAGUUCGGAUAAAGCCUAAAGGUCCCAGACCUCAGAUCAAAGUACUCGAGCCCUCGGCUCGGCAGAGUUUAACGGUUACAAAUCCACUCAGCAUUCCGAGGCAAAUUUAAAGUGAAGCACGACGAACUCGUCCAAGUCGAUCCCGUCUGCAAUACGAGUGGCAGCAGCGAUGAAAGUCUCCAUGAAGUCUUGAAAGCUGUGCUUCCUGGUAUUGGCAACUUGGAUGGCGGCCGGCUUUUCUUCUCGCGCCUCCUUGCAAUGGACGCGGACCAGAGACAGAGCGACAUCAGCACCACAUCUAGCAGAAGAUUUCUUCCAUUCCGCCACUCAACCCGGGACUUCAUUCUGUCGAGCCAUCAGAGACUCGAGGUCGUUCUGAAGCAUCAUCCCAGGCCAGAGUGAUGUGUCAAUCCGCGACAUCGCAACCUUCAGUCGAGCAAGAUAGUCAACAACACUGGUAACACGAGACUCCAGUCGGAGCACGUUCAUAGCAGCUUCAUCCUUCACGAGAGAAUUGGCGGGGUCCAAGCCUGGCUCCACUCGACUGGUUUCCUCUUCGAAGUUCUGGCAGAAUUCUGCAAACACGAUUCAAGAGUCAGACAUUGGCUCUACACAGGCUUGGCAACUGCAAGACAGUCGGGGCAGAGUAAUUACCUUCGAGCAUGACGAACAGCUUCUUGGUGAGUCCACCGAGAUAAGCCUCCAGAUCAUUUACCUUCCCCGCCAGCUUACCCGCCUGGUCGUGUAGAACCAUCUUUUCAUUCUUCAGUCGGCUGACCUCUUGAUUAGCUGUCUCGAGAGCAGUUUUCAGCCUCGAGUUCUCCUGUUCAAGAGUUCCGACCGAAGCCAUUUUCUCUUCUCCAAGCUUCGUUCUGCUCAAGGCCUCCUUCUGUGAUUCUGCAAGAUCUUGAUCCUUCUUCUUCAGAGCUUCUUCCAGUUUAUCUGCGGCACGUCGAGUGAAAUCAACAUCAAGAAUGGACAAGCAAGAAAAAUCACUCGUCAAGAAUGGAGAACCUCACCAGCCAUACCUUUUGCUUCUUCUUGCGCCUUCCUCAAAUUCUCUUGAGCAAGCUUCAAGUUAAGGUUGAGCUGGAUCUGCUUAUUCUCCAACUCAGUAUAGCGAGCUACAAGUUCACAGGAUUUCUGCAAAAAGAAAAAUCAGUGGACAGACGUCCAAGAUAAGUUGCUUCCCAAUAACUAAAAGACAACGAUGGCGUUUCUAAGACUAUAGCCGAAUCUAAAACAUUCGACAGUAGUCUCGGGGACUACACCCAGUGGGUGCACUCUGCGUGCCCCCAUUGUAAAAAAAGUCGACUGCCCGCAGUCGACCGGAUACAGUUCCAUUCGACAUGGCCUGACCAGACCGAAUGAAGAAAUACAGCUACAACAACACAAUAUAAAGACUACAGUCGACUGCCAGCAGUCCACCAUAGUCUCGGGGACUACACCCAGUGGGUGCACUUAGCGUUCCCCCACUCGUCCAAGAAUUGGCAGACACACCCAGUGGGUGUACAGAUAUAAAGAUCUUCAAAAAAAAAGAUUCUUCAAACAGCAUAUCGUAACAGACCAAGUGUUGAGUCGACUGACCUGGACGUUACUCUGAAGAGCCGAACUCGCGUCAUAAGCCGCUUGGCUGGCCUCCCAAGCCGCUUUCACUUGUUCCAUCAUAAUCCCCGCCUGGCGUAUGGCCUCUUUUGCAGCAGCUGCUUGGUCCUCAGGGACGGGGUACGUGGCAAAAAGCGAAGGCGGAUCCGCAGUCGACGUCAAGGGCCGCACCCUCGUCAGAGGAAUGGCGAAAGUCACAGAAGCCCGAGUGGUUUCACCACCGUCUCGGGCUACGGCCUCAGGCGCCGGAGUGGAUUGUGGGGUCUCGCCAGCCGACGCUCCCCUGUUCCUUCUCACUCUCAGCGGCACGUCAUCGUCGUCAUCCGGAAGGUUGAUAACAUGAUAAGGAGCUACAAGAAAAAAUUCAAUCGACCAGAGUUGCAAUAAGUGUCCAGUCGACUGAAGGCAGAACAUCAGUAAUCAUACCAGGGUGGAGGUAACAGCAUCCUCCAUCUCUUGGUCGUCGUCCUUGGCAGAGACCUCCGAAGUAGGAGCACUGCAAAUCUCGAAAGUCAGUCAGUUGGCUCAAUGAAUCGACCAAGGAUCUGUCCACGGUCGACAAAGGAAAACAAGUUUUGUUAUUACCCAGAAAUGGUGGGGACAGCCAUCUUCAUCUUGGGCAGAGCCUUGGGCGGCUUGGACGGCGUCGCGCGUGGGUGCUUGGGAGCCUUUCCAGUCAGCGUAGGAGAAGAGGUUCGAGGGCGUUUCGACAACUGCCCAACAGGAGCAGUCGCCUACCACGUUCCCGCGCUGGAUCAUGUGUGAGCUUGGAUCGCCUCUCCCGGUGGGGGGGGGGGGGGGGUCAACCUCCUCCUCCUCCUCUUCGCUGGAGUUGACGUCGUCGUCUCCCUCUCCUUCGCCAUCGGACUCCCACUCGCCUUGAUCGUCUCCACUCUCACAUCCGCUCGCCUCCCCUUCCUCAGUUGGCUCCUGUGCCCCGUUGGGUGUCGAGUACAUCUCAGUAGUCGCCUGGAAAACAACAGACAAGACAAAAGUUAGUCGACCAAUUCAAAGAAGACCAAUGAAGAAAACAAGAUUUCAAUCGGGAGCGUAAAGUCAGACCUGGUCCACUUCGUAUUGUUGUCGAGUGGAGAAACCCUCCUGGCGCCUCGGGGGUUGUCUUUGUUUCCUGUGAUGCUCGUCAGCCACCCCUCCAACAUCUCAUCAGUGACCUCCUCCGGGUGGAUCCGAGUGGUGUCUUCGAGGCCCGAGUACAGCCACAUCGGGUGGCCGCGAGCCUGGAGCGGUUGGAUGCGCCUCCGAAGAAAGACCUCCAGCAAGUCCAUGCCAGUCACGCCAUCACGGACGAGCUGAACCACUCGACCAACCAGCACUUUGAAUUGGGUCUUUUCUUCUGGCGUCACUUUCAGAGAAGCAGGUUUUUGAGCUCGGUCGAGAGAGAAAUGGGGAAGCCCGGUCGACUGUCCUGGGGUCACCUGGUCUUUGCAGUAAAACCAGGUCGCCUGCCAACCACGGACCGACUCUGGGAAAAUGAUAGAUGGAAAACAACUCUUUCCCCUCGUCUGGAUCGCGAGGCCCCCGCACAGCUGGAUCACUUGCGUCCUUUCCUCACUCGACUUGGCCUUCUUGACCGAUUGGGAGCGGCAAGUAAAGAUGUGCUUAAAGAGCCCCCAAUGGGGGCGGCAACCCAGGAAACCCUCACACAAGGAAAUGAAGGUAGCAAGGUACACGAUAGAGUUGGGAGUGAAGUGGUGGAGCUGCGCUCCGAAGAAAUUUAGAAAACUCCGGAAAAAAGGAUGAGGAGGCAGAGAAAACCCUCGAUCGAUGUGGGUGGUGAGAAGGACACACUCACCAUCACGGGGUUGAGGCUCGACUUCUCCCCCCUGGAGACGCGCAGCCUCGUAAGGAAUGACUCCCCCCUCAACCAUAUCGUCGAGGUCUUCCUGCCGAAUCACCGACGGCAUCCAAUCGCCCUGGAUCCAGCCUCUGGGCAGAGCAGUCCUUGAGGAAGAUCCGCCCCAAGCGGACUUCUUCCCUUUCCCCUGCACCGACGCCUUCUUCGCGCGCUCCAGAGCAGACGUCUUGCCCUUCACCAUCGUCGCCGGCGAAUCUCAAACGGGUCUGCGGCGCUAGGGUGAGAGCGGAGGUGGCGGAGGACUUCGCGAAGGGAGAAAGAAGAGAAAGAAGAGAAAGGAGAGAGCACUGUUCGGGAACCCGAGCAGGCGGCUUAUAAGAGGCCGCUCCUGAGUGGCUGACUGGUAGGCCCAGGCUAUCCCGUCAAAUCCCGCAGUAGACGCGCGCGCAGCUCGUGGCGGAAAAGGUGGCACGGGAAUCGAGGAGCUUCUGCCUUAUCACAUCCGAUUACUGCGGCCGCGCCCGUCCCGCUCGCUCCCCGAUGUUCAAAUCCCGCGAAAUCCGCGGGCUGCGGAACAACUCAUCAAAUAGAAGAUCCCUCUCGUGCCGGCACUCGGUAUUUCACAAGUAAGGAAAUUCACUCGACGGGAGACCAAGAAUGGAUCAAGGCGACCGAAAGAAGUUGACAACGUCAUCCUUGGCGAUAGAUCUAGUACAAGACGUCCAUAUGACGCUAAAAACCAGUCGGAAGGACCCCCAACUCCUUCCCCACUCGAACCUCGAUCCAUUCGGGGGCUAAUGACGAAGCUACGUACCUAGGGUAGGGGGAUGGACCUGUCCUAAGAGCCCUACCCAAGGACAUCCCUGGAAGAAGUCACCUUUCAAUCGACUUGAAGGUACCCACUCGACGGGUUUAAGACACUCGACCAAGAAGCUACCACUCGACACGAAGCCAAUCACUCGACUGCCAGGAGAUCUAAAGUCAUUCCACGGGCAAACGGUCGGCUAUUAAGUAGUCUUUAUGGUCAUUAUAGCACUUUAUUACCAGCGUUACCAGUAACGCCCCGCCUUAAUGUACAUUGAACCCUUGGUAACGUAGGCUGGCCGGGGUCCUGGCGCGCUCUAUAUAAGCCACCCCCUCCUCCGAGACAAGGGUUCGCACCUCUGUUAUUCACACGCCUAUAAUCCAAUCGACCGCCUCCGGGCACCGAGACGUAGGGCUGUUACUUCCUCCGCGAAGGGCCUGAACUCGUACACCUUGUUGUGUUUACAACUUCCCAAUAGCUGAGAUCUAGCCUCUCCAUACACACCCCCAACAUCACUGUCAGAGUUAGAACCACGACACCGCCUGCCGUGCCCCUCGCCGCACGCCCACCACCGCGCCAGCCCCCACUCUGUGGACGACCCUAGCCGCGCCCGCGCCGUGAUCCCCUUUUCCGCCCUACCUUCCCGCACUCGCCGCGGUCCCGAUGCUCCCCCGCGCCCUCUUUCAGGGGCGCCGACUGCCCCUGUCCCAUUACUCGCCGCCGCGCCUCGCCACCGCUCUACUGCUACGUUACUACUGCGCUGCGGCCGCCGCCUCUUCCCGCUGCUCCGCUAGCGCCGAAGCUCCCGGCUGGCUCUGCCACUGGUCACGUUUAACUACCGGUCUAAAUGGCCUAACCUCCCGGCAAAUGAACCCCCAGUAACCCACUGACACCGGGAGCCACAUCCCCUAAUUAACCAUUAAUAAAUUAAAACUCUUAAAUUAACAUUAGUGUAUGACAUGUGCGUCCCCUGUUAAUUAAUAAUUUACAUUAGUGUAUGACAUGUGCGUACCCUGUUAAAUAAACUGAUUUAAUUAAAAUCUAUUAACUUCGAGUCUAUGACAUAUCACUACUUGGGAAAAUCCUAGCAGUAGCGUGGGUAUUUUUCCUAUCAGUUGCGCCGGAUACCGCUCUACUGAUAAGGCACUACAGCUAACAUGUAGCAGUAAUGCGUGUCAUCCAACGCUACUGCUGUACAUGGCUAGCAGUAGCGAGCUUUAGUGCAAAGCGCUGCUGCUAAUAUCUGCAGCGCUUUUCAGCAUGAAGUGAUACUGGUAAGGGACCUCUACUACUAACUUUAUUCCCCUCGCUACUGCUAGUUUUAUUAGUUUCUGUUUUUUUCUGCAUAUUUCUUUUGUAUUUGAACAGGCUUUAUACAAUAAUAUUUAGCGUAUCAUACACAUACAAAUGUAAUCAUAGCAUAUACAUACAAAUAGUCUCGUCAAAUCAUGUCAUCAUCAUAAUCAUCAUCCAUCACAAAGUGGUCUCUCGUCAUCAUCUCUAAAAUAGCGAUACAAGUCUCGAUUACUUGCAACUACAUUGUCAUCCGUCUAAACAAUGAUAUACGCGAGAAGAGCUAUCACUAUGAGUGAGAGCGGAACUAUGCAGUACAUGAGUUUGUAUCCCUCUCUCGCAUUAGCGUGAACCUAAACUAACUACUAGUUGUCGCUCGGAAACCAGAAACCGGUACACCUGGGCCUGACACUCCGUCCACUCAUCUUAUACUCCUGGCGUAGCACUUCUGUGCCAUCGAUGAUCUAUGCACCUGCAUCGUCACAUGAGUCGAUGAUAUGCAACAUAUAUAGUUGAGCAAUAGAAACAGACAGACUUGGCAAAAAUAGAAGCAACAUAUCAUAAGCAUAAAUAACAAAGUUCAUCAUACCCAAAAUGCCCUAACUAGAGUGAUCUUCGCUAGUCGAGGAGGACGGUUUAAUUACAUCACAAAUAAUGUUUCAUCUUGCAUAACUCAAAGUGCCAUCAUACAGAAAGUAUGAACUAAACGGACACAUUGUCAUAUGUCGACAAUCACUCCAACAUGUCGUGCCAUCGAUCCAAGUCAAGGAGAUAGUCCCCGAGCUUAGUGAAAGGCUUCAGGUUGAGACGCUGAGCGGCAACGCGUGUUCGGACGUCUUCCCUCGACAUUUUUCCUUCUUCAUAGAACAUCCCUGUUUUUUCGAUGACCUCCCUCAUGAUGAUUUGGGCAAGUUCGCACUGGAAGUGAUAGAACUCAUCUUGAAGUCGAUGAUCCUCGAUAUCUCCUAAGUUCUUUGCCCAUUGCAGAAUAUGGGCAUCGCCGAAUCUAGGUGUCAUGCAAAGGUUCUGGUGAUCCCGUAUGUACUCCAUCAUGUGGUGUAGGACAUAGAAUCCAUCAUUAAGAGAAUCACUCAGUUGCUGGAUACAGCAGAAGCCGGUCUUAUGGCCGAAGGCGGGCCUGCCGUCCCUUUUCUUCUUGUCCUUGACCUCUCCACCCCGUGCACCGUAGUAAAACAUAGCACCGUCGAGAACAUACUUGAUGUGGGUGUAAUCCUUUUUUUUAAUGUUCUUCGAUGAGUCCAAGUAAAGAGCGUGGGAGUAUCGGGGGUAGAGGAUGAUGAGGAUGGUGCACCCGCCGCUGCGCAAAAUAAGUACACCUCAAAUUAAUUAGCCUCCACCGUGCAAAUGAAUGAUUGAAAUCGUAGGAAGGAUAUCCGCGUGGAUGACUUACAGGGGAUGAUAAGGCACAAGAAUCACCUCCUUGUCCUUAUUGGCACGCAUGAAAUUGACGAUGUAUUCCUCGCGUAUUCACGGUGCUUUGCGUGGACUCACAAGAAGACCUCGUGCAUGAAGUACCGAUCAGUGACACAGAUAUGAGGUAUUUGCUCAACCCCGAUGAGGUAGUUCAUGUGCAAGGCAUAAAGGUGGACGAAUGUAAAAUCCAGCUUCUUUAAGUGAAACAUGUCGAAGAUGUAAUCCAAUCGAAGGAAGAACUUGUUCGAGGGGAAUGUGUCGAUGUACGACAAUUGCAGCGACACGUUAACCACGGAGAGUGGGUAUGCUGGAUUUUUUGAGGCAAUGAGGCCUUUCUCUAUCAGCAACACAUCAUCAUGAAGUCUCCUUAUAUCGCCAAAUCAGGCCCCUAGCGCUGCUUUAGGUAGGAUUGGUUAACCGGGGAUACGCCAUAUUGCCGCACCGAGGAUAUCUAUACGGUCUUGAACCCGAGCCUGCUGAGGUGGCUGGAUCAUAGAAGCACCUUUGUUUCCUUUCCUCGGUGUCUUCCUUGGCUUCUUUGCUACCGGAAAGUCGUCUAUAAUAUGUUCAGCCUCUGGAGGCGGCAAUUCAGGCACCAACUCAUGCGCUCAAACCCUGAGUAGGCGCCAGUAUUGAGGUAUUGUUGAAUGUCAUCGUCGUCCUCAUCUAUGGCGAUGUCACUAGCGACAAAUCGAGCCUCUUCCUCACCCCGUCCGCUAUCACCCAGCACGACAGCCGACGCUAAUUGGGUAGGUGGGGUGUUGAUGUUCGUACCUAACUGCGUGCUCGUGUGUGUGCUCCCGGCCGCCUCCAGACAAAGCAGACUCUUUGACCACAACAGGACCCACCCAUUGCAACCACCAAGCCGCUGCGGGGUCUCGUCGUCAUCCCCUAGUAUCGGAGGAGCCAAAUUCUCGUGGCCCGGUUUGACACUGGCCACGAAAACUUUGAAGACAUACGGGGGGAUUGGUCGGCCAUGGAACAAUGGUUCCUUCGGCUUCAUUACCGUCACCUUCCCCACGUCCACCUUUUGGUCGCCGAUGUUGUACAAUAUGGUGCACGGGGUUACAUCGGCCUGCAAAGACACCGUGAGAUUAUACAUUUAUGGAAGAGGGCCGGUGUGACAGAUACCGUGAGGGCGUCGAGCUCAGCCAAAGACGAAGGACAGCUGAGCACGGCCGGUGUGGGAGCCGGUGUGGGAGCCGGUGCAGGUGCAGGUGCUGGUGCAUCGCUAGUCGUGCUACUCCCGAAGAAGUCAACAAUGGGAAAGUCCGCUGCAUUUUUUCUGGAUUUUGCAUGCUCCAAUUGAAAACGGCUGGAACCAAGACAAUAGACAUAUCUGCAACCACCUGUUUUGCGGCAGCUACCGUUAUCGUGACAGUCUCAGAUGAUUUCUUCUCUACUGCAAUCUCAACCUUCUUGUCGAUGUUUUCUUCAGUUAACCUCCAUCUUUCCUUUCUCUCCUCCGUGGUCUCACGGUAGCACUUCUUCCACGUGGCCCCGUCUCCGACACCGUGAACGCGUCCAUACGACGACCGAGUCUCCACUGGGAGUCCUUUCAAUAUGUUCAAUGCCCGGUUGAAUGGAGUGUCCCACUUGGGCCUCGCCAACGCCUCAGACGGCGAGUCUCUUUCGGUCGCAAUCUUGUGCUGCUCUCUCUACAAAAGGAACAAGGAUCAUUUACAAAUAUGACUAAACGUGCAGUCGAAUUGAUCAGAAACUAAAAUUACCAGCAGUCUCAUGAACUCCGUCGUGAUCGGGUCCGUCUUGAAAACCUUCUUGACCGAGUGCCAAUGGUGCCGUGCCCUGAGGACGUCAUGCUCCUACAGGACGGUGAAGUCCGCCAAGGGGUCUAGGAUGCCAGACUUUCGCGUUUCGUGUCCUCCUUGGCCCAUAUGGACCUCUUCCUGCUGUAACCACGGCUUCCGAGGUGGCGGUGCCCCAUGUUCCUUUGUUGAAACCCCUUCAUGUACUUUGACUUUGUUUUGGCAGUUUCAGCCUCGCAAGCCGCCUUGAAUAUUUCAAAGUGCUCUCCCGUGAUUGUCGGAUUAUCCUUUACAAUCUCGGAGUAGGGUUGAUACGUCUCCAAUGUAUCUAUUAUUUUUGAUUGCUCCAUGCUAUAUUAUCUACUGUUUUGGACAUUAUUGGGCUUUAUUAUCUACUUUUAUAUUAUAAUUUGGACUAACCUAUUAACCGGAGGCCCGAGCCCAGAAUUGCUGUUUUUUUGCCUGUCUUAGGGUUUCAAAGAAAAGGAAUAUCAAACGGAGUCCAAACGGAAUGAAACCUUCGGGAACGUGAUUUUCUCAACGAACAAGACCCAGGAGACUUUGACCCUACAUCAAGACACAAGGCGAAUCAUGUACGUAGCCACUAGUGAAACAUAUUAUCUUUAUUAUAUCUAUCAGAUCUCACUCUCGUAAGUGGCCGUGUUGGGAUUGACAACCCCUAUUCAUGUUGGUUGAGAGGAUUGAUUUGUUUUGUGCAAGUACAAAGGACUCGCGCGUAGCCUCCUAUUGGAUUAAUAGCUUGGUUCUCAAAAAGUGAGGGAAAUACUUACGCUACUUUGUUGCAUCAUCCCUUCCUCUUCGGGGAAAACCAACGCAGUGCUCAAGAGGUAGCAAGAAGGAUUUGCUGNNNNNNNNNNNNNNNNNNNNNNNNNNNNNNNNNNNNNNNNNNNNNNNNNNNNNNNNNNNNNNNNNNNNNNNNNNNNNNNNNNNNNNNNNNNNNNNNNNNNNNNNNNNNNNNNNNNNNNNNNNNNNNNNNNNNNNNNNNNNNNNNNNNNNNNNNNNNNNNNNNNNNNNNNNNNNNNNNNNNNNNNNNNNNNNNNNNNNNNNNNNNNNNNNNNNNNNNNNNNNNNNNNNNNNNNNNNNNNNNNNNNNNNNNNNNNNNNNNCCUCCACCCUCGUGGGCCCCCUGUUGCUCCACCGACGUACUCCUUCCUCCUAUAUAUACCUACGUACCCCCAAACGAUCAUAUACGGAGCCAAAACCCUAAUUCCACCGCCACAACUUUCUGUAUCCACGAGAUCCCAUCUUGGGGCCUGUUCCGGAGCUCCGCCGGAGGGGGCAUCAAUCACGGAGGGCUUCUACAUCAACACCAUAACCUCUCCGAUGAAGUGUGAGUAGUUCACCUCAAACCUACGGUUCCAUAGUUAUUAGCUAGAUGGCUUCUUCUCUCUUUUUGGAUCUAAAUACAAUGUUCUCCCCCUCUCUUGUGGAGAAUUAUUCGAUGUAAUCUUAUUUUUGCGGUGUGUUUAUUGAGACCGAUGAAUUGUGGGUUUAUGAUCAAGUCUCUCUAUGAAUAAUAUUUCAAUCUUCUCUGAAUUAUUUUAUGUAUGAUUGGUUAUCUUUGCAAGUCUCCUCGAAUUAUCAGUUUGGUUUGGCCCACUAGAUUGAUCUUUCUUGCAAUGGGAGAAGUGCUUAGCUUUGGGUUCAAUCUUGCGGUGUCCUUUCCCAGUGACAGUAGGGGCAGCAAGGCACGUAUUGUAUUGUUGCCAUCAUGGACAACAAAAUGGGGUUUUCAUCAUAUUGCAUCAGUCUAGCCCUCUACAUCAUGUUAUCUUGCUUAAGGCGUUAAUUUGUUUUUAACUUAAUACUCUAGAUGCAUGCUGGAUAGCGGUCGAUGAGUGGAGUAAUAGUAGUAGAUGCAGGCAAGAGCGGUCUACUUGUCUCGGACAUGAUGCCUAUAUACAUGAUGAUACCUAGAUAUUCUCAUAACUAUGCUCAAUUCUGUCAAUUGCUGAACAGUAAUUUGUUCACCCACCGUAGAAUACUUAUGCUCUCGAGGGAAGCCACUAGUGAAACCUAUGGCCCCGGGUCUAUCUUUAUCAUAUUAAUCUUCUACUACUUAGUUAUUUCCUUUGCUUUUUACUUUUCCUUUAUUUUACUUUGCAUCUUUAUCACCAAAAUACCAAUAAAAUUAUCUUUAUCAUAUCUAUCAAAUCUCACUCUGGUAAGUGGCCGUGUAGGGAUUGACAACCCCUAUUCGUGUUGGUUGCGAGGAUUUAUUUGUUUUGUGCAGGUACGAGGGACUCGCGCGUAGCCUCCUACUGGAUUGAUACCUUGGUUCUCAAAACCUGAGGGAAAUACUUACGCUACUUUGCUGCAUCAUCCCUUCCUGUUCGGGGAAAACCAACGCAGUGCUCAAGAGGUAGCAAGGGUUCCUUUUUGUCGACGAUCCGAUGUUUCAACCUUGUUUUCCAGGCGGCCAACGCGUCGCUAAACUUGGGCAUGGCGUGUUUGUUUAUCUUCUUCAUUGCCACGUCCUUAUCUGGAUCAUUAUUAUCCUUUUCAUUGCAGUCAGGGAACAAGAAUAUCUGGUGCAGCUUCUUUAGGAGGGAGGGCCUCAUAUUAUCUAUCUUCUGUAGUUUCCCAUCGUUGAUCGUGGCAGUUGUCCGUACGAUGCAACCUAUUUGAUUGCCGUAGCACGAUCGCGCUUCCUCGGGCGCUAUUGUCUCAAAAAUACCGUUGUCCAUCUCCGUGACCACCAGUCUAGUACUCAUGAGCUGGUUUGGGUGCCGUGGCCUCUUUGCUUUCGGUUCUAGACCAGCUCCGCUAGUCUCGGCGCCGGUCUCAGUCUCAUCACCGGUCUGCAUGUCGGUAUCAGUCCCCGAUGCGACAGCACAGUCGCUGCAACAUGGGUAAGGGAGACCACAUCAGUGCUGGGGUGGUCUGAAAAUUGGGACACACUUUCGCGCAUUGCGGGCCGCCUCUCAGACAGCUACUGGGGAGGCGGCGGAGUACCUGGGUGCGCGACGAAUCCCCGGGAACUCGGUGACCAACUUCCUUCCCAUGUAGCGCAUGGAGACGAUGGCGACCCCGCCGAAGAGCAGCUUAGUUGCGAGCUGCACAGCCUCGUCCACCUCCUAAGUUGGGACCUCCGCGCGAGCGUUGCGGGGCCGCCGCUCGGAUGGCUUCUGGAAGGCGCUUGUACAUGGGCACAGGGUGAAUCCCGGCAAGAGCUGGCCAUUGGUGCGCGCAAGUAGACGACGACGUCGCCGACGAAGAGCAGCCCGGCCAGCUCGCCUCACUCUCCUUUGAUUAGAAUUGAAAGAUUGGGAAGAAGCAGACUUGAGCCUGCAGGGAAAGGAUAAGGUGACGAUGCAGUCUCCACUCGUUCGGGGCGACACGCGUACUGAAUGUAUGAGAAACGCGACGUGGCAGGGACCCCAAGAUACUCCCUCCAUUUAUUUUUAGUCUGCAUAUAAAGUUUGGUCAAAGUCAAGAUUUGUAAAUUUUAACUAACUUUAUAAUAAAAAAAAUCAACAUUCACAAUAUGAAAUAAUUAUUACCAGAUGCGUCAUGAAAUGUAUUUCCAUACUAUAUAGGUUUGGUAAUGUAGAUGUUCAUAUUCUUUUAUAUAAAUGGGAAGUAGAGGCACUCUUCCAUAUAAUGAAGUUUAUAAUAUAUGUGCUUAUAUUAUACUAUAAUUGUUUGAAUAACUUAGCAUAUGUUCAGAUGUAUGAUAUCUGUAAUUUAAGCGCUUGAAUUUUACAUAUAAAUAUUUAUUAAUAAAUAUGUACCCCUAUAAUAGCUAGGCCGUGCAGUUGCACGGGUAGAUGACUAGUGAUUACAAUCUUGUUUGUGUGCAAGUCAAGCUUAUCUAGUUUACACGUAACAACUUGUAGAACAUUACAAAAUUUAUGCUUGCUAAUAACUUCUAGAACACUACAACACUUGACAUGUAAAAGGAAUUUGACGAGUCAUGGCCUACUAAAGAAAGUUACAUUACUAGUCUUAUAUCUAUCUUAAUAGACCACACAAGACUACAAAUUAAGUACCGUGACAGCCAUGAUUAUCUAGUUUAUGCGUAACAAUUUGCAGAAAAUUACAAACUUAGUUUUAGAAAAAUAGGCAAUCCAGAUUAGUGUUUGAGCUGUAAAGUGAAUAAGAUGAGUCAUGCGUGUUAUCACACCUUUUUGGUGGUGGAAUGAUAGUGCAAAACAAGGAACUUUAAUGAACAGUCCAAUAAUACACUUGUAAGUAGUGCCACCAAACAGAACAUACCAAAUGAUGAUUUUGAGAAGCAUCCAAGCACUUUCCACACAAACAAAUGCCAAUUGUGAAAGAGAUCAUUCCAUGGCAGCUAUAAAUAGCCCCGUAGCAUGACGAUCAUCCUUCCUCAUCCAUCAUUCUCAUAAGUAGAGCGCAUCAUUUAAGCCAAGCAAGCUGUGGUCAAUACAAAUCCACCAUGAAGACAUUUCUCAUCCUUGCCCUCCUUGCUAUCGUGGCGACCACCGCCACAACUGCAGUUAGAGUUCCAGUGCCACAAUUGCAGCCACAAAAUCCAUCUCAGCAACAGUCACAAGAGCAAGUUCCAUUGGUACAACAACAACAAUUUCUAGGGCAGCAACAACCAUUUCCACCACAACAACCAUAUCCACAGCCGCAACCAUUUCCAUCACAACAACCAUAUCUGCAGCUGCAACCAUUUCCGCAGCCGCAACUACCAUAUUCGCAGCCACAACCAUUUCGACCACAACAACCAUAUCCACAACCGCAACCACAAUAUUCGCAACCACAACAUCCAAUUUCACAGCAGCAGCAGCAGCAACAACAACAACAACAACAAGAACAACAAAUACUUCAACAAAUUUUGCAACAACAACUGAUUCCAUGCAUGGAUGUUGUAUUGCAGCAACACAACAUAGCGCAUGGAAGAUCACAAGUUUUGCAACAAAGUACUUACCAGCUGUUGCAAGAAUUGUGUUGUCAGCACCUAUGGCAGAUCCCUGAGCAGUCGCAGUGCCAGGCCAUCCACAAUGUUGUUCAUGCUAUUAUUCUGCGUCAACAACAAAAACAACAACAACAACCAUCGAGCCAGGUCUCCUUCCAACAGCCUCAGCAACAAUAUCCAUUAGGCCAGGGCUCCUUCCGGCCAUCUCAGCAAAACCCACAGGCCCAGGGCUCUGUCCAGCCUCAACAACUGCCCCAGUUCGAGGAAAUAAGGAACCUAGCGCUACAGACGCUACCUGCAAUGUGCAAUGUCUACAUCCCUCCAUAUUGCACCAUCGCGCCAUUUGGCAUCUUUGGUACUAACUAAGAAGAAAAUAACUCUAGUACUAGAUAUAUGAAACACCGUUUUCUCAGUCCAUGGUUUGGUCGUUGUAGCGGUGAAAAAAUAAAGUGACAUGCACUAUCAUGUAAGAACCCAAACUAUACUAGUUCAAACUUGGGAAUAAAAGACAAACACAGGUCUUGUCUACAUAUUUAUGCUGCAUCUAUUUAUAUAUUAAAAGUAAUAUAAGGUGAACCAGGAGCAAGGUAAAUAUGGUAGAAAAUUGCAC